rfam:Picea glauca, whole genome shotgun sequence.
AUGUAAAUGCCUACAACAUAACGUUAAUGCAUGGGAUCCCAUUAGAACUAUGCAGUUAAGCGUUCUUGGGCUAGAGUAGUACUGGGAUGUGUGACUGCCUGGGAAGUCCUAGUAUUUUACAUG